CAGAAAGACCCUAUGAAGCUUUACUGUAACUUGAAAUUGAAAUUGGACUUUAUUUGCGCAGUAUAGGUGGGAGGUGUUGAGAAUAUUCUUGCGGGAAUAUUGGAGCCAUCAGUGAGAUACCACUCUUAUAAUGUUAGAUUUCUCACUUUGAAUCAUUAUCUGGUCAAAGAACAGUUUCAGGCGGGCAGUUUGACUGGGGCGGUCGCCUCCCAAAUGGUAACGGAGGCGUACAAAGGUUUCCUCUGAACGGGUAGAAAUCGUAUCUAGAGUGUAAAGGCAAAAGGAAGCUUGACUGUGAGACUUACAAGUCGAGCAGGGACGAAAGUCGGUCUUAGUGAUCUGACGGUGCUGAGUGGAAAGGCCGUCACUCAACGGAUAAAAGUUACUCUAGGGAUAACAGGCUGA
rnacentral:rRNA from 1 species